rnacentral:rRNA from 1 species
AAAAACAUUUCUUAUAAUAUCUUUAUAAGUAUAAUCUGCUCAAUGAAUUUUAAAUAGCCGCAGAUUCCUGUGUUAAGGUAGCAUAAUCAUUUACCUUUUAAUUAAAGGUUUGUAUGAAAGAUUGAACAGCUAAAUUUCUUUUUUAUUAAUUUUUAUUAAAUCUAAAUUAAAAAUAAAAAUGUUUUUAUAUAAAAAAUAGACGAUAAGACCCUAUUGAACUUUACUUUAGUUUAGCUGGGGAAGCUGAUUAAACAUAAUUUUAAUAAAUUAUCUAGAAUAUAUUCCUAAUUAAAUUAUAUUAAACAAGUUACCAUAGGGAUAACAGCGUAAUAAAAUUUAAAAGAUCAUAUUAAAAAUUAAGCUUACGACCUCGAU